rnacentral:lncRNA from 1 species
AUGCUUCUUAUUUGUUACAUGCCUUAUAAAGUUAUCCUCCUUUCUUUCUGAUAGGAAUUCCACAGCACAGACACACAGAUGACCUUUUCAGAAAGUAUCACUUGUUAGUGUGAGGACUCUCCAGGAAUUGGGGAAAUUCAUCCCUUGGAUUCCUAUGGCAUUUUCCUCAGCUUACAGUGAUUUGCGAUUGAACUUGAGAAGAAAAUCAUAUUUUGGGGGUGCUCUACUCAUCUGAAGCUGAAUCUACUGGUGGGGCCUCAUCUCCAGAAAAUGGCUUAUUGGAGUCCAGGUAUUAUGAGGGAACUAUCUUCGACUGGAGAACCCAAAUUUGUAUGGCCGUCUUAGCUUUAUACUU